rnacentral:tRNA from 1 species
GGGAGAGUGGCGGAAUUGGUAGACGCUCGACGCUCAAAACGAUCGUGGGCAUUGCCCGUGGGGGUUCGAGUCCCUCCUCUCCUA